rnacentral:rRNA from 1 species
AUUGAACGCUGGCGGCAGGCUUAACACAUGCAAGUCGAACGAGUGGCGGACGGGUGAGUAAUGCUUGGGAAUCUAGCUUAUGGAGGGGGAUAACUACGGGAAAAGGUAGCUAAUACCGCGUACCAUAGGAUGAGCCCAAGUGGGAUUAGGUAGUUGGUGAGGGAAAGGCUAACCAAGCCGACGAUCUCUAGCUGGUCUGAGAGGAUGACCAGCAACACUGGGACUGUGCCACGGCCCAGACUCCGACGGGAGGCAGCAGUGGGGAAUAUUGCGCAUUGGGGGCAACCUGACGCAGCCCUGCCGCGUGAAUGAAGAAGGCCUGCGGGUUGGAAAGUUCUUUCGGUAGCUAGGCGUUAACUACAGAAGAAUCACCGGCUAACUCCGUGCCAGAAGCCGCGGUAAUAC